rnacentral:rRNA from 1 species
CACGUAGGGGACGAGCGUUGUCCGGAUUCAUUGGGCGUAAAGCGCGCGUAGGCGGCUCGGAAAGUCGGUCGUGAAAUGCCGGGGCUCAACCCCGGGACUGCGUCCGAUACUCCCGAGCUGGAGGCAGGUAGGGGAGAUCGGAAUUCCUGGUGUAGCGGUGAAAUGCGCAGAUAUCAGGAGGAACACCGGUGGCGAAGGCGGAUCUCUGGGCCGAUACUGACGCUGAGGAGCGAAAGCGUGGGGAGCAAACAGG